GCUGGGUGUGGUGGUGCACACCUGCAGUCCUAGCUGCUGGGGGAACUGAGGCAAGAGGAUCACUUGAGUCUGUGAGUUUGAGACCAGCAUAGGCAACACAGUAGGCCCCAU
rnacentral:sRNA from 1 species